AUUGAACGCUGGCGGCAGGCCUAACACAUGCAAGUCGAGCGGGGUUUUCGGACCUAGCGGCGGACGGGUGAGUAAUGCGUAGGGAGCUACCCGAUAGAGGGGGAUACCAGUUGGAAACGACUGUUAAUACCGCAUAAUGUCUACGGACCAAAGUGUGGGACCUUCGGGACACAUGCUAUCGGAUGCGCCUACGUGGGAUUAGCUAGUUGGUGAGGUAAUGGCUCACCAAGGCGACGAUCCCUAGCUGGUUUGAGAGGAUGAUCAGCCACACUGGAACUGAGACACGGUCCAGACUCCUACGGGAGGCAGCAGUGGGGAAUAUUGGACAAUGGGCGCAAGCCUGAUCCAGCCAUGCCGCGUGUGUGAAGAAGGCCUUCGGGUUGUAAAGCACUUUCAGUAGGGAGGAAGCGUUGUGUGUUAAUAGUACACAGCGUUGACGUUACCUACAGAAGAAGCACCGGCUAACUCUGUGCCAGCCGCCGCCGUAAGAC
rnacentral:rRNA from 1 species